rnacentral:rRNA from 1 species
GAUGAACGCUGGCGGCGUGCCUAAUACAUGCAAGUCGAGCGAACAGACGAGGAGCUUGCUCCUCUGACGUUAGCGGCGGACGGGUGAGUAACACGUGGAUAACCUACCUAUAAGACUGGGAUAACUUCGGGAAACCGGAGCUAAUACCGGAUAAUAUAUUGAACCGCAUGGUUCAAUAGUGAAAGACGGUUUUGCUGUCACUUAUAGAUGGAUCCGCGCCGCAUUAGCUAGUUGGUAAGGUAACGGCUUACCAAGGCGAGGAUGCGUAGCCGACCUGAGAGGGUGAUCGGCCACACUGGAACUGAGACACGGUCCAGACUCCUACGGGAGGCAGCAGUAGGGAAUCUUCCGCAAUGGGCGAAAGCCUGACGGAGCAACGCCGCGUGAGUGAUGAAGGUCUUCGGAUCGUAAAACUCUGUUAUUAGGGAAGAACAAAUGUGUAAGUAACUAUGCACGUCUUGACGGUACCUAAUCAGAAAGCCACGGCUAACUACGUG